AACGAACGCUGGCGGCGUGCCUAACACAUGCAAGUCGUGCGAGAAAGUUCCUUCGGGAGCGAGUAAAGCGGCGCACGGGUGAGUAACACGUAGGUAACCUGCCCCCAGUCUGGAACAACUAGAGGAAACUCUAGCUAAUGCCGGAUGAGACCACGAUCCCUUCGGGGGGUUGCGGGCCCAAAAGGAUUGGGCCUCUACUUGUAAGCUAUCGCUGAGGGAUGGGCCUGCGGGCCAUUAGCUUGUUGGUGAGGUAACGGCUCACCAAGGCUGUGAUGGCUAGCUGGUCUGAGAGGAUGACCAGCCACACUGGGACUGAGACACGGCCCAGACUCCUACGGGAGGCAGCAGUGGGACUAUUGCGCAAUGGGCGAAAGCCUGACGCAGCGACGCCGCGUGGGUGAUGAAGGCC
rnacentral:rRNA from 1 species